AUGUGCUCCCCGAGUAAGAACGCAUCCUCUGGAAGUUGAAGAACAGAAAAAAACAGCAAGAGAUAAUGAGAGAGAGUACCAGUUCCUGCUGUAAUAAUGUUACAUGUAAGUAACGUUAGUUACGAUGACAUAAUAUUAUAAAUGGUAAAAUAACCAAAAUCUUACUUGUGAAAGGUAAUCCCACGCGAUCUGGUAUCUGCGCGGGUUAUUGCAACCGUAAACUGCACAAAAUACGGGCAUAAAUUGCUCGCUCUCCGUUGACUCUGGUGCUAGCGUAGAGUGAGGAGACCCAACCAAUAUGGCGGCGACGCUGGAUUACGUUCCAGCAUGUCAUGAGGCGUCUAUUAUGUCUAUCCCUGCGUCCCAAUGUUCAUACUAUCCAUCCUAAAUAGUAUGUGAGACUACAAUAAGGGUGUCCCAAAGCAUAGUAUGUUGAAAAGAGUAUGCCAAAAGUCCCCGGAUGGUCUACUAUUUCAGGUCGAUUUUUGAAGUGUGGAUCCGAGCACACUCUAAUGGCUAAAAUUGCCCACAAUCCAUUGCGCUUUGACAAAGGAUUUGGUCCAGAACUACACGAAUAAAAAGCGUAAGAAAAACUACAAACGUGGCGGAUGCGCGCGAUCGACCUUUAUGUCUACAAAAAGUGGUCGGAGUUACUAAUAAUCAACAUUUAAACUGGUCGUACCUCAGAAAUUUCUGAUGACUUGAGGGAGAAGUUCAGGCAGUUCUCUCUAGACACCGGCAUCCUUGGGGAAAACAUACUGCCAUCAAAUGGAGAAUGCUCGGCUGCGUCUCGACCAAAAGACCAAAGAAAGACAAAGACAACUUCUGCUGGUCCGAUCAUUUCACCUAAAAACAGAUGUGAAUUUGCUGGCCUUCUGUCUGCUUGGUUUUCAUCUUUUUUUUUUUUUUGUUAUUUUGUAUGGAAACAUCAGUUUUUCUUUAUGUUGUGCUCACAAUGACAAACCAAUUUGCAACUACAGAGCUGAUCCAAAUGAUGCAUUUUAAUAAAUUGAACUAAGUUUUUGAUGUUUCUGUAUUGAAGUGUGAUUAAUCCAGAUAAAACAUCAGAAAAACACUGUGUGCAACGAUACAGUCAGAAGGCUCUACAAAUCGCCAUGGUUUACCAGGGAUUUACUGUAGUAACAUUAACUGCACAAUGGUAUUGUGGCAGAAAUGUGUGGUAUUUAUAUCAAAUUUAUUAUAUUAAUGUAGACGUGUAUUAAAUGUUUUAAAUGAGUAAUGGAAUGUAAUUACACUAUAUUUGUGAUUAAGCUAUAGGCUAGCGUUUGUGCAUUUAUAAUAAAUGUAUUUAGACUACUGUUUUACAUAUAAAUAGGCUACCUAGAAACCAUCUAGUUGGAUUUUUACCACAGUAUUGAGGUGCUAUAUGUGUGGUUUUAACUCUGGUUAUCAUGAUGUAAAUGUAUGCUACUGUGGAAGAACAAUGGUUAAUUUUAAUAGAACUCAAAGUGUCAGAAAAAUAAAAUUUCACCAUAUAAAAAAGGAGGUUGCUGCAAUUUUUUA